AUUAUAUUAUAUUAUUAUAUUAUUAUUAUAUAUAUAUGACAAAGAAAGAAAGAAAAGAAAUAGAGAGCAAAACAAAACAGAGAAGGGAGAAAGAAAGAAACAGAGAGCAAAACGAAACAGAGAAGGAAGGAAGGAAAGAAAGAAAGAAAAGAAAAGAAAAAGGGAAAUUUGGGGUUUUAAGGUUCAAAGUAAUUUGGUAAGUCAAUUUAAUCCCAUUUUCUCUUAAUUUUGAUAUUUUUUUUGAAAUCCUAGAACAAAAUACUACUUGAUUAAGUUGAAAUUUUGGAAGUUAGUAGAUUAUUAAGCAUGGUUCAUGUUGAAUAAAUUGUUAAAUUAGGGAUGUAUUUGAUAGAAAUUUUGAUUGGAAUUGAAUAAAGGAUUGAAUUGUAAACUAAACUAUAAGUUUUGAAUUUUAGGGAUUAAUUUGAAAUAAAUUCGGAAUUAUGAAAACAUGAUAAAAAUUAAAUAGUUAAAUAUGAGUUUAGCAAGAAAUUGGGUAGAAUAAGGGUAUGAAUUGAGAAAGAAAAAUAUAUAGGUUUAGUUAGGGGUUAAAUUGAUUUAAUUUCAAGUUAGAAGUUAGUAAAGAACGUAAUUGUAAAAUAAAAUAUAAGUUUUGAAUCGAUAGGGAUUAAAUUGAAAGAAUCCCGAAAUUAGGGAUUUAUGGUGAAAUUGAGGAAUUAAAUUGACUUUAUAGUAAGAAUUAAGAGAGAAUAUAGAGUUAGAAUGCAAAAAUAAAAUUAGUAUUGAUAAGGGAUUAAAUUAGAAUUUGAUGUUGCCAUAGAAGGGAAAAAUGUUCAGAAUGUUAUAAAACAUAAGAAUAAGAGAUGAAGUUUAAUUUCCGAGCCUUGGGGCAAAAAUGUAAUUAUGUAAAAGUUUAGGGGCAAAAUUGUAAUUUUGAAAAAGUUAGAGUCGAGGGCUAUUUUGAUGAAUGUGAUUAUUAAAUAAGUUAAAUUUACUAUUUUAGAUCAAGAAGUAUGAAACUCGAGGUUAGACAAAGGGAAGAAUAAAGUUGAAGACUAAGUUGGUGAAUUUGGCUAUAAUUGGUACCGAGGUAAGUUUACGGUAAAUAAAUGCAAUAUUUCAAUAUUUAUUAUUAAUGCUGUUAAUUUCCAGCAAUUAUGAAUUUAUUUUAUGAAUUUAUUUGAUGAUGAUCCAAGCAUGAAAUGAUAGAGAAUUAAAAUUUAAAAGUCCCGUUGAUACAUAAGGAUGGUACUGGAUACGAAUGUCAUGACAUUUGGGUAAAGAGAUCCCAUGUAAGACCAUGUCUGGGACAUGGCAUUGGCAUCCUUAAGAUCAUGAGAGCUCCCCUGUAAGACCAUGUCUGGGACAUGGCGUUGGCACCGAGAUGAGAGGUCCCAUGUAAGACCAUGUCUGGGACAUGGCGUUGGCACCGAGAUGAGAGGUCCCCUAUAAGACCAUGUCUGGGACAUGGCAUGGGCACCAUCACGAGAACAUCCCAUGUAAGACCAUGUCUGGGACAUGGCUUUGGCAUGUUAUUAUCAGAAGAGACCCGAGUAUCCUUAUUAUUCCAAUGUAGUUCAACGGGCUUGUAAACGAAUCAUGUUCAUGAAAGUUCAGUUUAAAGCAUAAAUGGCAAGCUCAGGUAAGUUAUAAGACUUAAGAACUUAUUAUACUAUCAAUUGAUGUUCAACGAUGCAGCAAGGAUUGAGUAAGUUAUGCACACAAAUAUUCUAAGUAAACAAGUAAGAGAACUAGUAUGAGAUUAACUAAAGAGUAAACUAGAGAUAUAGACAUUGAGUUUAAUUAUUUAAGUUAAAUAUUGUUAUUUAUUUGCUAGUAAACUUACUAAGCUUUAUGCUUACUUCUUUUAUUUCUCUUUCUCUUAUAGUAUUGCAAAGCUACUUCAAGGAUCCUAAAGAAGUCGGAGAUCGUCCACACUAUCAACUACAACUGCUCAGUAUUUUAUAUCGAAACACGUUUAAGUUAAGGCAUGUAUAGGGAUUUAGUUAUUUUGUAUGUUUGUAGUGAUGAUUUUGCUAAUGAGUGAUGUGUAAGUAUUUGAUGAUGUAUGGUUAUUAAAAUGAUUAAGGAUAAAGGUGUUUGUUGUUAUGAAAGAUUAGGUGAUAAAUUAUGCAUGGAAAUCAUGAAAUGAUAAAAUUUUGCAAAGAAACAGAAUUCAGGUAGCACAGUGACGUGAAUUUGAAAAAUCACCCAAGAUAGUAUAAAAUGAAUUAGAGGGUGAAUGAUAUAUGGAAUUAAAGCUUGUUGAGUCUAUUUUCAUGGAAAAAUAACGGUGUAGAAAAAAAGAAAUUUAUAUUUUAAGAUAUGUGAAUUUUAGUAAGAUAGGGCCAGAACUGUUUUUGGAGUCCCCUGUUCUGAGUUUAGAAAAUAAUUACAAAUUGUAAAAAAAUGGUUAUGAGUUGAAAUUUACAUGAUUAGAUUCAUUAAUGAGUCUAUUUUCUAUAGAAACAAGUAAUAACUUCAUAUGAAAAUCAUAUAGUGAGAAAACUUAUUUUUAGUGACUAGAGGUCAGGGCAGUCUGGUGG
rnacentral:lncRNA from 1 species